CACUCUAACUAUUUAAGCCAGAGAAACAGGAGCUCUAGCAGCUGAAGUUGCUGGAAAGAGUUAAGAUAAAGGCCAGCUGAGUGAAGCACAUAAACAAGUAAGCAUGUCAUGUUAAACACGGCCUCCUAAACAUUAUAUUGGGAAUGCAACUUAGAAGCUAAGUAGCGAGAAGACUCCUAGUGAUGGCAAACGACUGCUUCCUUUCCAGCUGGAGUCCUACAAAAGACCAGACACCCCAGAGAGAGGCAGACCCAAACUAUUACCAGAAUGGAGCUAUGGAGCAAGACC